UUCUCGUUCUAUAGAUAUCCCUUAUUCGUUUGCUGUGGUCACUCGUGCCUGAGGAUAAAAUUCGUACCUUUGUCAGCAAUGAGUUGACAAAGUUAGCCUGGGAUUAGAUCUAAGGAGGAGAGUGUUGUGACAAAGGCACAGCGAAAAGAAAACCAUUGAUGAGAAUUAAGAGACAAAAUGAUUCAAGAAACAUAUAAACCGGUACAGAAUCCAGGAAGACAAGAGAUUUUCUUCAAAGAGAGACUGUUUACCGGUAACUAGGAUUCUACCAUGAAACUAUGAAACCGUUUUGAAGGAAAAACCUGGACAGGCUACGUGAUCAAAAAGCUGUGUUAUAUCAUGCAAGGAACUCGUGCUUUUUUUGCAUGAACGGUAAGCAAUGCCGCUGAAUGUUGUUGAUGCAUCGGGGCUUCAGUCGGAAAUUCAGUGGUUCCUGUUUAAACUG